UGUGAGUGGGUGUCUCUCUUUGCCGAGAUGAAAGGGCUCAGCCAGCUACAGAAUGCCUCCACCAGCAUCAGGCUUCCAGUGAAUCACAUCAAAAGCCUCCCUGCCAGGGCUAGCGCCUUCCAGCUGGGGGCAGAUGGGCUCAUUCGAAGCAGGAAGAGUACGUUGUUUACAUUAGGUGGUGCUGAUUUACAAGCGAGGAGCUGCCAUGUUCCCUAGCACUGCUCAGGAAAGCCCUCCACUUGCCCAGAAUGGCUCCUUUGAAGGUGCACAGCGUCCAGAAAAGGAGCUUAAGAAUUCUAGCCAUCCAGAUCUCAAACAGCGAAUCCUCAAUGCAGGCAAGUUGAAGAGAAAUCAGUCGCCUCAGCAAAGACAUGGAGAGAGCUGUUCGGUGCGCAUCAAUCAGUGGAGUCAGAUAUAUAUGGAAGAAAACAGAAGAUGCUGGAGCUGAAGUGAAUUAAGCAGGCACCAGACAGCUGUGGGCAAGCAGGAGCUACAGAUCCCACUAGAAAUCGACGAUGCUAUGUUUGUGUGAGAGACAUCCCGGCAAUAUGACUGAUACACUGAGGAAAAAGGGCUGAUCUCGGGCUGUCUCAGGAUGAUGGCGCUUAAGAAAAUGAUGGAACUUUCAUGGCUCUCUGGUUAUCUGUGAGCAGCAAACAUAUUUUUACUUGUUAUUUUUCCAGCAGUUAUCCAAGCUUAAAAGUUUCAUAAAAAGGGACAAAUUCCAAAUGUUCAGCCUUGUAAAAUCAAAAGGAAUGACUCACAGGUCAUUAGCAUCCCUGGAACAUAGUGGCUUUUGUUUUAUUGCUAUUAAGCAGGAUUUAGCUCUAUUUUAUUAAGGCAAUUCUUACACUCAUGUGAGAGGUUAAUGCAUUUCACACAUAAUCCGCUGCCUAGCUCCCUAAAUGCUGAACCCAUUAAAGCCAAGCCAGGCAGGGGAAGAUUUCAAGAUAGAGUGACAAACUGUGAGUGAUGUACAAUGAGUGACUGAAAGUUUCUGAGUUUUUUUUUCCCCUUUUCAAAAUUUAAAUUUUGUUCUCAAGCAGGAAAAUAACAGGGCCAUCCUGGGAAAAAUACAUGGGAGCAUAUUGCAGCAGCAGGUAAGCUCUGCUAGACAUUGACGUCUAGUUGAUAAAGCUGGGGGCACUGAGAGAGCAUCUUUUCACCAGUUCCCAGCCCCCUUGCCAGUUAGGUCUCCUUUUAUUAUUUCUCUCCAUCUGGGACCUGGAAGGUAGAAUCUGCCGAUAAUACUGCAUUUGUUAAGCAACAGUGGAUUUCCCCUUCCACAGUACUCUCGUCAUCAGAGACCAAGCUGGUCGGAGUUUCCAGCAGUAGCAGGUCACAAUGAUUACAUGAAUAUCUGAAGCCUGGAGGAGGAGGCAGGAGCCAGAUCAUGAAAGAUUUUUCUAAGUUGUUUUAGAGAGUUUAACCUUUAUCCUUUAGGACAAGGGAAGAGGGCAAGUUUCAUUUUGUUUUUUUAGAUCAACACUACUGAGGUAUGUUACACACAGUAAAAUGCACCCAUUCACCCUUGUAAGUGUACAGUUUGAUGAAUUUUAACAAAUACAUUCACUCAAGCAGGCACCACCACGAUCAAGACACAGAACAUGUCAUUACCCUCUGUGAGUUCUUCCACGUCCUUUUACAUUCAACCGCCAUUCCCACCCCUGCUCAGGCAACCACUGAUCUGGUUUCUGUCACUAUAUACAUUCAUUUAGCUUAGUCACUUUACAUAGACCCAUUUAGCUGAUUUUAGAACUUUGCAUGUUUUGGAUUCAUGGUGUGCAUAGCAGUACUUCACUCCUUUUCAUUGCUGAAUAAGUAGCCCGUUGUAUCAGUUUCCACCAUUUAUUUAUUUGUUUGCCUGCUGAUGCACAUUUAGGUUAUUUUCAAGGUUCUAGUUAUACAAAUAAAGCUGCUAUGAACAUUAAUGUGUGAAUCUUUGUGUGGACACAUGUUUUCAUUUCUUUUGGGUAAUUAACUGGAAGUAGAAUUGAUGGGUCAGAUGAUAAGUGUAUGUUUAACUUCUACCAACCUGUUUCCAAAGCAGUAACAUUUUUCAUUCUUACCAGUAAUGUAUGAGAAUUCCAGGAGGCUCUACAUCUUUUAAAUUCUAGCCAUUCUGAUGGGUUUGUAGAGGUGUUCAAUGUGUGUUUCCCUAAGGACUAAGGAUAUUGACAUCUCUUCAUGUGCUUAUUGAGAGCAGGAUUUUAAACAGUGGAAUCAUAGGACCAAAUCUGUAUUUUAGGUUCUUGAACCAAGAUGCCAACUUGGUUCCUGAAUUUGACUUCUUAUCAUUCCUGCUGAAGUGCUGCAACUAAAGUAACUAGGAAAUUCUACAUGAUUUCUGAAAACCACAAAGAGAUCUCAGCCACUUAUCUGAAACCUCUGAGAGUUUUAGAAAAAAAAAAAAAAAGGAAGAGGAGAGUGGAGAAAGAGGCAAGCACUGCUUGCUCUGCUAUGCAUUGGUUGGUAGAGUGAGUGAAGAAAUUCCACUCUGCCCAGCCCCUUAACUCUUCUUGGAUCCGAGUGGUAUCCAUGGAAAUAAAGAAGACAGAAAGUUCUAGGUCAGAAACUUCUCACAGAAGGGAAAGAAGCAGGGCUCAGUCCUUCUCCAGCCACCCUCAAGAUGGAAAAGAAGAAGAAACUUCCAGUUGUACCCUCAUAUCCAUUCUCCUCUUCUUUCAUAGCAAUAGAACUUGAAGCAGGUCAAGUGGCCACCCAGAAUAAAAAUUACAUUUCCUAGCCUCUCUUGCAGCAACGUGUGGUCAUAUGAUUGAGUUCUAGCCACUGGAAUGUAAGCAGAAAUGGUGAGGUUAAUUUCCAGGAAGUGUUCUUAAAGGGAAGUUGUGUGAUUUUUCUCCACCUUCCUACUGCUGGCUGGAUUAUUGAUUGGAUGGCUAGAGUUGAAGCAUCGAUUUUGGGCCAUGUGCUGGGGAAGGCAGAGCAGUAAGAUUGAAUAAGCUAGGACCCCUGGCCCUGUGGAUCAUAUCAAACCUAAACCAACAACUUUGGGAUUUCUUUUGGCUGUGAGAGAAAUAAACAUAUCUUGUUUAAACCACUGGUUAUUUUCCGUUUUCUUUCACUUGUAGCUGAAGCUAAUUUUAAUUUAUAAAUUCUGAUUGCUGACUGCCCCCAGUCAUUUUUGGGGAAAGCUAUCAUGACUUCUUAAUCACCAGGGAUUAUCCAAAGUGAACCAACUAUAAACAUCAUCAACAAGUAUGAGAAAAUGGUGAAAAGCUGCUGGUUUUGUAAAAAGACUCAGUGUUCAAAGAGAGGGACUGAGGGACCAAUCUGAACAUUUAGCACAAACUGCACCCAGCAAAAGAAAUACUUUUGGAAAGUAGGGAAGCCUUAGUUGUAUUUUUAGCGAGGGUCAAAAUGCUCUUAUGUUGAUUUUAAAAGAUCAGUCUGAAACAAAACAAUAAAGAGUUCUUAGGAAAGGUAUGAUUUCCAUUCCUUUCCACCCUGUCAAGGCUGUGCAUAGCUGAGUGGAAACUUCAGAAACCAACCUGAUUAAUUAGAAACUAGCAUGAGAAAUUCUCCCAAAACUCAGAUGAAGAUUAUGAGGAGAU